rnacentral:rRNA from 1 species
UACGUAGGGUGCGAGCGUUGUCCGGAAUUACUGGGCGUAAAGAGCUCGUAGGUGGUUUGUCGCGUUGUUCGUGAAAUCUCACGGCUUAACUGUGAGCGUGCGGGCGAUACGGGCAGACUGGAGUACUGCAGGGGAGACUGGAAUUCCUGGUGUAGCGGUGAAAUGCGCAGAUAUCAGGAGGAACACCGGUGGCGAAGGCGGGACUCUGGGCCGAUACUGACGCUGAGGAGCGAAAGCGUGGGGAGCAAACAGG